AACCCUAACUGCCGAAUAGCCGAUCUCUUAUUCUCUCAUUUCAUUGAGACUCAGAUCUAGAAAAAAAAAAAAAAAGACUUCUUCUAGAAAACGCGGCUGCCACCUUCAAGAAUUUGACGAACCGGCAAUCCGGCCCUUCUCAGCAAUCUCUCUCACUCGUCCGAGCUCCGAUAAUGGAAGGAACUCAAGGAUGAUGGAAGGAACUCAAGGAUGAAAUUUUGUACUGUUAGGAUGAUGUAUUUGCAAGUUUGUAUGCUUAUAUUUGAAUAUUCUUGUUUAUAAUGUUAUGCAUUUGGAUUUUGUAAAUUGCAAA